rnacentral:rRNA from 1 species
GUCCUACGGGACGCAGCAGUGGGGAAUAUUGCACAAUGGGGGAAACCCUGAUGCAGCGACGCCGCGUGAGUGAAGAAGUAUUUCGGUAUGUAAAGCUCUAUCAGCAGGGAAGAAAAUGACGGUACCUGACUAAGAAGCCCCGGCUAACUACGUGCCAGCAGCCGCGGUAAUACGUAGGGGGCAAGCGUUAUCCGGAUUUACUGGGUGUAAAGGGAGCGUAGACGGCAGAGCAAGUCUGAAGUGAAAGGCGGGGGCCCAACCCCGGACUGCUUUGGAAACUGUAUGGCUGGAGUGCAGGAGAGGUA